UACGAAGGGGGCUAGCGUUGUUCGGAAUUACUGGGCGUAAAGCGCGCGCAGGCGGUCCUUUAAGUCAGGGGUGAAAGCCCAGAGCUCAACUCUGGAACUGCCUUUGAAACUAGAGGACUUGGGUACGGGAGAGGUGAGUGGAAUUCCGAGUGUAGAGGUGAAAUUCGUAGAUAUUCGGAAGAACACCAGUGGCGAAGGCGACUCGCUGGACAAGUAUUGACGCUGAGGUGCGAAAGCGUGGGGAGCAAACAGG
rnacentral:rRNA from 1 species